rnacentral:lncRNA from 1 species
GAGCUAUUCAGGAAUUUUUUAAAGGAGGAGAAAGGGACCUGGUGAAACCUAAAUAUGACCUGGAUAGAACUGAUCCGUUAGAAAAUAACUAUACACCAGUCUCUUCAGUAUCGAACAUUUCGUCUGGCCACUAUCCUGUACCGACUUUGAGCAGCACCAUAACCGUGAUUGCUCCUACUCAUCAUGGCAAUAACACUACCGAAAGUUGGUCUGAAUUUCAUGAAGACCAGGUGGACCACAACUCUUACGUAAGG